rnacentral:rRNA from 1 species
UGAGGAAUAUUGGUCAAUGGGCGAGAGCCUGAACCAGCCAAAUCGCGUGAAGGAAGACUGCCUUAUGGGUUGUAAACUUCUUUUAUACAGGAAUAAAAAACGGGGACGUGUCCCUUAUUGCAUGUACUGUAUGAAUAAGCAUCGGCUAACUCCGUGCCAGCAGCCGCGGUAAUACGGAGGAUGCGAGCGUUAUCCGGAUUUAUUGGGUUUAAAGGGUGCGCAGGCGGGCUUUUAAGUCAGCGGUGAAAUCUCGGGGCUUAACUCCGAAACUGCCGUUGAAACUGGGAGUCUUGAGUAUGGAUGAAGUAGGCGGAAUUCGUUGUGUAGCGGUGACAUGCUUAGAUAUAACGAGGAACUCCGAUUGCGUAGGCAGCUUACUAAGCCAUAACUGACGCUCAAGCACGAAAGCGUGGGGAUCAAACAGGAUUAGAUACCCUGGUAGUCCACGCCGUAAACGAUGAUUACUAGUUGUAUGCGAUAUACCGUAUGUGACUAAGCGAAAGCGAUAAGUAAUCCACCUGGGGAGUACGCCGGCAACGGUGAACUCAAGGAUUGACGGGGUCAUAGCUGUUUCCUG